CAGCAGUCGCCGCGGUAAUACGUAGGGUGUGAGCGUUGUCCGGAAUUAUUGGGCGUAAAGAGCUCGUAGGCGGCUUGUCGCGUCGGAUGUGAAAGCCCGGGGCUUAACUCCGGGUCUGCAUUCGAUACGGGCAGGCUAGAGUGUGGUAGGGGAGAUCGGAAUUCCUGGUGUAGCGGUGAAAUGCGCAGAUAUCAGGAGGAACACCGGUGGCGAAGGCGGAUCUCUGGGCCAUUACUGACGCUGAGGAGCGAAAGCGUGGGGAGCGAACAGGAUUAGAUACCCGUGUAGUCCCUGUCUCUUAUAC
rnacentral:rRNA from 1 species